rnacentral:lncRNA from 1 species
GAGCCUGCAGAGGUGAGAGUGUAGCCAUGUGUAAAAGGCAACUUUGUUAGAAAGCUGAGGGAAGGCAGAGAGGGGAAUCAGAAUUGAAAAAGAAGUGUUAGAGCUCCUCAACACUCAUUUGGUGCACUCAGGAGCAAAAUGAAUGCUAAAUUAAAGGCCAUUCCAGAGGCUCAGCCCUUGACUGGGGACCAGGAGUAUCCAGGUAUUUAAAGCUUGCCAUCAAAGCAAGAAGGCUGUCAGCAGAAACAUUGCAACAUACACAUUUACAGUCUGGAAAUCAAAGCUGAAAUGUUCAUUUUGGGCAUCUCCAGAACUCUUAGGAGCAGUGGCUGUGCAGCCUGGCAAGGACAAACACUGCCUGGAACGUGGAGCAGCAAUGUGGAGAGCAGAAAGAGAACUCGCCAGGAUGCCCGGUCACGUCUGGGCAGGGAAGGAAACUGAAAAUGCAGCUUUUGUGCCGAGCAGUGUUUAUUGACACAAGCUGCUGGGAAGUGCCUGAGCACGAGUCCCAGGCACAAGGAUCGGCCUUUCCCAGGAGACGGAGGCAAGAACGCGGAGGCCCCGGGACAGCUCCGCUCGGCUGAGCACCCCCGACCCCCCCGGGAUGCAAAGUUCGCUCACCUCGGCUGCUGCCAUCGCGGCUGUGCUGGCUCCGUGUGCGCCGCGGGGCAGCAGCGGGGCGGGGACACUGCGGGGCGGCUCCGGGCACGGUCCCGGUCCUGGUCACAGUCACGACUUCGAUACCGGAUCCACUCCCGGUACUGAUCCCAACUCCAAUCCUGGUCCCCGUCCCAGCUCCGGUCCCGAUCCCGAUCCUGGUCACAGUCACGAUCCAAACUCCGGUCCCAGUCCCAGCUCGGGUCCCGAUCGCAGCUCCAAUCUCGGUGCCGAUCCCAGCUGGAUUCCUGGUCCCGAUCCCAGCCCCGGUCCCGAUCCCAGCUGCAAUCCUGUUCCCGGUCCCGGUCCCAGCUCCAAUCCCGCCGCGCUCCCGGCGCUCCCGCUCCUGGUCCCGCCCGCCGGGGCGGGGAUUCCCCAGGCCAGCCCCGCUCCUGGUCCUGUGCAGUGGCACGGCUUGUCCCUGUGCCUCACAGCAUACUCAGAAAUGGCAUCCCCCUUUUCCUGUCCCCUUUCGGAGCUUGCUGUCCUUUAACCAGCCUUGGUGUCAGAGAGCUGGGAAGGAACCAAAUCCAGGUCCUCGGGUCCUUGUCUGGAGCAGCAGGACACUGCCGGUGACACCCUGCUGCCUCUGGUGGCCCCACAAGGUCCUUUCGCAGCUGCAUUUCCCGUGUAGUGCCCUCAGUAUCCAUCUAGAACAAGGCUCAGACUCUCUAUGUAGACACCAAUUAAUUCACUGCUUCUCAAACAUUUCUUUU